rnacentral:rRNA from 1 species
CUACGUGCCAGCAGCCGCGGUAAUACGGAAGGUCCAGGCGUUAUCCGGAUUUAUUGGGUUUAAAGGGAGCGUAGGCGGAUUGUUAAGUCAGCGGUUAAAGGGUGUGGCUCAACCAUGCAUUGCCGUUGAAACUGGCGAUCUUGAGUGCAGACAGGGAUGCCGGAAUUCGUGGUGUAGCGGUGAAAUGCUUAGAUAUCACGAAGAACUCCGAUCGCGAAGGCAGGUGUCCGGGCUGCAACUGACGCUGAGGCUCGAAAGUGUGGAUAGCAAACAGGAUUAGAUACCCUGGUAGUCCACGCCCUAAACGAUGUCGAUUAGCUGUUGGGCAGCAUGACUGCUUAGUAGCGAAGCUAACGCGUGAAAUCGACCGCCUGGGGAGUACGGUCGCAAGAUUAAAACUCAAAGGAAUUGACGGGGGCCCGCACAAGCGGAGGAACAUGUGGUUUAAUUCGAUGAUACGCGAGGAACCUUACCCGGGCUUGAA